GGAAGGCUGCAUAGCUCAGUGGCAGAGCAUCCGCUUUGCAUUCGUAAGGUCCCGGGUUCAAUCCCCGGCGUCUCCA